UAAGGAAUAUUGGUCAAUGGGCGCAAGCCUGAACCAGCCAUGCCGCGUGCAGGAAGACGGCCCUACGGGUUGUAAACUGCUUUUAUACCGGAAUAAACCUUGAUACGUGUAUCGAGCUGAAUGUACGGUAAGAAUAAGGAUCGGCUAACUCCGUGCCAGCAGCCGCGGUAAUACGGAGGAUCCAAGCGUUAUCCGGAUUUAUUGGGUUUAAAGGGUGCGUAGGUGGCCUGUUAAGUCAGGGGUGAAAGACGGUAGCUUAACUAUCGCAGUGCCUUUGAUACUGACGGGCUUGAAUACACUAGAGGUAGGCGGAAUGUGACAAGUAGCGGUGAAAUGCAUAGAUAUGUCACAGAACACCAAUUGCGAAGGCAGCUUACUAUGGUGUCAUUGACACUGAGGCACGAAAGCGUGGGGAUCAAACAG
rnacentral:rRNA from 1 species